AGAGUUAGCUAGACAGUCGCUGUAAUAAUUAUCAUUACAGAGGAAAGUCCGGGCUCCAUUGGGCAAAGUGCCAGGUAAUGCCUGGGAAGCGCGAGCUUACGGAAAGUGCCACAGAAAAUAGACCGCCUAAGAUUUAUAAUGAUGGGUCUCAGGUAAGGGUGAAAAGGUGUGGUAAAAGCACACCGCAUCACUGGUAACAGUGGUGGCAAGGUAAACCCCACUUGGAGCAAGACCAAAUAGGAACCUUUUAGACGCGGUCCACGUUAGGUUCGGGUAGGUCGCUUGAGAUAUACGGUGACGUAUGUCCUAGAUGAAUGACUGUCCACGACAGAACCCGGCUUAUCGGCUAACUCUUCUU
rnacentral:RNase_P_RNA from 13 species